rnacentral:rRNA from 1 species
GACGAACGCUGGCGGCGUGCUUAACACAUGCAAGUCGAGCGGAAAGGCCCUUCGGGGUCCUCGAGCGGCGAACGGGUGAGUAACACGUGAGUAACCUGCCCCAGACUUUGGGAUAACCCUCGGAAACGGGGGCUAAUACCGGAUACGACACAGCUUCGCAUGGGGUCUGUGUGGAAAGUUUUUCGGUUUGGGAUGGGCUCGCGGCCUAUCAGCUUGUUGGUGGGGUGAUGGCCUACCAAGGCGAUGACGGGUAGCCGGCCUGAGAGGGCGACCGGCCACACUGGGACUGAGACACGGCCCAGACUCCUACGGGAGGCAGCAGUGGGGAAUAUUGCACAAUGGGCGGAAGCCUGAUGCAGCGACGCCGCGUGAGGGAUGACGGCCUUCGGGUUGUAAACCUCUUUCAGCAGGGACGAAGCGUAAGUGACGGUACCUGCAGAAGAAGCGCCGGCCAACUACGUG